UCUCCCAUCAUGCUGAAAACACUUGCCCCAGUGAGGAGAAACAAUCAGGCCAGAAACUAUAGGGGGCUAAGGCUCUUCAGGACCUGCUACAGGUGAGGAGUCCUGGAGCACAUCGCUAUGCCUGCACCAUGGACCAGAGCACGAUUACACAAGGAGACCACGGACAUAAAACUUUAGCUAUGAAAUCAUGAGAAUUUCUGUUUGGUAUAUGAUUGACAAAGCAUGAUCAUACAGCCAACCCCAAAAUGGUGGGAUGAGGCUAGGAUGAUGAUGAUGGUGAUGUAAAUAAAUAAAGAAAAAUAAAUUCAAACAAAGAUUAGUGACUGACCAAUGAGUAUUGGUGUGAAAAUGGAAAAUCUUCAACUGUCCUAUUUUGGCAAAAAAAUGUCUGUGAAUCAGAGAUUAGGAUUGUUCAACCAAUCUAAUCUUGGGAUUGUGACUUGGCAGUAGUGAACUACACAAUAUACUUGUUUUGGUUAAGUUAAGCUUGUUUUGGUUUUUGCAGGGCAUAAUUGAAGUGCAUAGAAGGAUUUUUAUUUUAUUUUUUUCCAUUCAUCAAUUGCUUGAAGGUGGUGUAAAAUAUUCGUUUCUUUGGUGAAUGAUUUUAUGCAGUUCUGCCUUUCAGGAACAAACCACUCCCAGUUUUUUGUAUCUUUGAUUUUAACUUGUCAAUGUCAUUGUCAAUUUAAUACAAAAUCCAUGUUCACCUGCAGUGUUGAUGAGCAGGUAGCCAAGGACAUAUAACUGCUAGAUUCCAUUGCUGAGAAGCAACCCCAAAUCUUCUCUGAAGAAUGCAAGUAUUAUUGAAGUAAUUAGCACAUGGGAUGACCAAAAAUGAGUGAUGCCCCAUUGGUUUGACCUGGAAAAUUUAUUAUAACUAACCUUUUCAAAUAAAUGCAGUUGGAUCUUCCUCUGAUGAUGGGAUUCAUCUGCUAGACUUCUACCCAGACUCCACCUCA